AACCCUCAGCUGUCACACUGGUUAUAAAUCCAGAUGAUGUUCCCGUAAAGAGGGGAGAGGAUGUUACUGCGGCUGCCUAUUCUGAGCUCCUCCUGCAGACCUCCAGGAAAGUUCAGACCAGAAGUCCGAACUCAAGAUGUCAGCAGGGCCUCUUGGGGAGAGUGCUUCUUGGCCUAGUUUGCCAGCAAGCCUUGGCAUUCCGUGAUCCCACAGGAAGCCCCUUCUGCAAAAAGGGUGAAAAUAAAUCUCACCUCAUGAAGUCGUUCUCCGGAUUCCAUGGGACUGUACCUCGCACAGUGCCUGGCACACGAGGCGCUCUCUUGCCUUGCCUCCCUCUGCCUGCCUCCCCAGGCUGCCACUCCCUGCGGCAGGAGGACCGCCGAGCCUCCGUGAGGCCUGAGGGAAUGGACGGUCUGGCUUCUUGGGCGGCGGAGCUCCCAGCCUUUUCCAGGCCCCGGGCCCUGUAUGAUGUCAGCCACGGAACUUCACCAACACGUGGAUCUUUCCAAUCAGCCCUUCUCCCGUUAAAUAGGCAUUUUUAUAUUUUCAUUGGACAUACAUUAGUCACGGAGAAUUUUUACAGCCCAUGUUUUAGAGCGCGGCGGUCUGGGCUGUAAAGAUACAAUCGGCUCUGAUAGGAGACGGUUUCUCUGGCGCUAAAGGGGGGCUGGCGUGGUGGCGGCAUGAUUGGAGCUCUAAGUGUCUGAAAUGACUGUGGCUAAGUCCCCAGAGCCACAAGUCAAUCAACCGCUCCAAACGGGAAACUCAACAGUGAGUGUUAAAAAGAGGGGGGAUGAUGAAAAUGAAAAAAGAAAAACAUUCAAGAGGGAAUUGAAUUUUGGAGUCACUUGAUGGAAGUUUUAAAAAUGAACAGUAACAGCCCCCAAAAGUGCAUCUUCUCUACCCGGCUGAAGAAGAGAGGGUUUGCUUUCUGGGAUUCUGGAAGACUCUUUCCAAGUUACUUCUUUCUUCUCUUCUUUCCCUCUGUCCCUCCCUUUUUCCCCACGAAUGUUUCCUGAGCACCUACUAUGUCAGGUACUGCGUGAGUCACUGGGGAUAAUAUAACAGUGAAUAAGGCAGAUGGUGUCCCUGCUCUUCUGGAGUUUAUAUAUUUCGCACACAUACCAGAGGACGCAUGGAACAGUUUCCUGUUGCCCCAGCAACGAUGACCAAGGCCAAAGCUAUAGGCAAAAGCAUCAAGUACCCCACAUUCUCUUUUUUUUAAAUCCCACAGAGGUUGUCCCAUGAUGGGGCCCCCGAGGACUGCAGACCUGUA